GGGGAUUUAGCUCAGUGGUAGAGCGCUUGCCUAGCAAAUGCAAGACCCUGGGUUCGGUCCCCAGCUCCG
rfam:Rattus norvegicus chromosome 3, whole genome shotgun sequence.